rfam:Schistosoma mattheei strain Denwood, Zambia genome assembly, scaffold: SMTD_scaffold0000325
AUCCAGCUGACGAGUCCCAAAUAGGACGAAACGUGUGUUCUAGGU